UUUCUAUUCUUUUGCAAUUAUAAAUUGGCUUAGAGUUUAUUUUGAAGAUUAUUGAUUUUAUUUUUUGUUGUGGAGUUUUCGGAAGAUUAAUGAACUGAACAAUCACUUUGAGAAGUGCCAGCAGCUUUUGAACUCGAUUGCGGCAUCAAUUAACACCAAAGCUAUGACUGUUGAAGGACAGAAGCGAAAGCUGGAGGAGAGUGAACAACUACUAAAUCAAAGGAGGGAUCUGAUUGCCAACUAUAGAUUCUCUGUCGAAGACCUUGUGAAGGCUGAGCCCUAGUUACUUCUCAUUCAAACAAAGCAC